rnacentral:rRNA from 1 species
ACGCUCGACACCUACGGGAGGUAGCAGUCGGGAAUAUUGCGCAAUGGAGGAAACUCUGACGCAGUGACGCCGCGUGCAGGAAGAAGGUUUUCGGAUUGUAAACUGCUUUAGACAGGGAAGAACAAAUGACAGUACCUGUAGAAUAAGCUCCGGCUAACUACGUGCCGGCAGCCGCGGUAAUCUGAGCGGGCUGGCAAGGC